GGAGGAGAGGAGGAGAGGAGGAGAGGAGGAGAGGAGGAGAGGAGGAGAGGAGGGAGCGGGCGGCUCCAGCACUCUCUGAAGCCGCAGCCGGGGCUUGGGGAACGGGGCACCGAGAGUGGGGCUGCUCCUUGGGGAGGAGGAGGAGGGAUGGCAGAAGAGGGACAAAGAAGGAGAGCAGGAAUGGAUGGAAGGAGGAGACGGAAAUGGGAUUAGGGAGGAGAAGGAGUAGGGAUGGAAGAGGAGGAGCGGAAGUAAAAGGAAGAGGAGAAACAAAGGAGAAUCAAGAAAAGGAGAACCACGAGAAUUCACCUCUGAAUUCACAGCCGCCCACCCACGAGAUCAUCGCCCCAAAAACCCACAGGAUUUCUCAUUCCCAAACCUUGGCAGAUGGAGGAGGAGCCUGUGAGGAAGAGGAAGAUGUCCCGAGACACCCAUGCAACAAGGAGCUGAGGAUGGAGACCAGGGAGGACAAAUCCCCACGGCAGAACCUCGUGGAAGAGGCUGUUUUGAGUGGCUCCACAGCAGAGGAAUCCAACAGGGAGGAAAAGCCCCGGAGAUCCCUCAGGAGAAGGGGCUGCAGACCCAUCCCAGGGUGCUCCGAGGAGGAAAGACCCACCCUGUGCCAGGAAGGUGGAUGGAGAUCAAGCCAGAGCUCAGACCUGGUGAACCAUGACAGGGAGAGGCCCUACAAGAGCCUGGAGUGUAGGAAGAGCUUUAGCAAGAGCAACAACCUGAUCCGCCACCAGAUAAUCCACACUGGGGAACGGCUCUACGAGUGUGGGGAGUGUGGGAAGGGCUGCAGAGACAGCUCUGACCUGAUCCACCACCAGAGAAUCCACACCAGGGAGAGAUCCUAUGAGUGUGGGGAAUGUGGGAAGAGCUUCAGUGAGAGUUCCAGGCUGACUGUCCACCAGAGAAUCCACACUGCGGGGAGGCCCUACGAGAGUGAGGAGUGUGGGAAGAGCUUUCGGAUCAGCUCCCAUCUCCUUGCACACCAGUGCACACACACAGAGGAAAGGCCCUUCCUCUGCCAUGACUGCGGGAAGGGCUUCAACCGCAACUCCACCCUCAUCAGGCACCGGUGCAUCCACACCAGGGAACAGCCCCACGAGUGUCCCCAGUGUGGGAAGAGCUUCACCCACAGCUCUGCCUUGACUGAACACCAACAGAGCCACCGGUAAGAGAAGCCCUGCUGUGCCCCAGCUGUGGGGAGAACUUCAUGUGCUGCUCCAACUCCAUCCCCCCAUCAGAGGACCUACAACGGGAAGAGCCCUGGUGAUCCACAAAUCCCCGGUGACCCACGUGGUGGAUGAGGGAAAGGCUGUGGAUGUGUCUGCCUGGACUUGAGCAAAGCCUCUGACACCGUGAGCCACAGCAUUCCCUGGAAAAGCUAAAGCCCACAGCUUCGGCAGGUUCCCUCUUUGCUGGGAGAAUGAAGAACUGUCUGGGGUUUGGGCCAGGAGAGGGAUGGGGAUGGUGCUGCAUCCAGUUGGUGUCCAGUCACUGGUGGUGUCCCCCAGGGAUGUGUGUUGGGCCCAGUCCUGUUUAACAUCUUCACUGAUGAUCUGGGUGAGGGGAUUGAGUCCAGCAGUAACAAAUUGCAGAUGGCACCAAGCUGGGUGUGAGGGUGGAUCUGCUGGAGGGCAGGACAAGGAGACACAGCCUUAGGCUGCACAGGGGAGGUUUAGGCUGGGAAAUAGGAAGAAGUUCUUCACAGAAAGGGUGAUUGGGAAUCGGAAUGGGCUGGUCAGGGGAGAGGUGACAGAGUCACUGUCCCUCUCCAGUGGCACUUAGUGGCAUGGUCUGGGUGACAAGGUGGUAUGAGGGCAUUGGUUGGACUUGAUGAUCUCAAAGGUCUUUUCCAACCUCUCUGAUUCUGUCAUUCUGUGACGAUUGGGACAUUCUGUGGAAGCAAGGGGCCAUUGUGGCACUGCGGGGCCUCAUGGAACUAAGAGGACCAUGGUGACACUGUGCAGCCCCAUAGAAUGAGGGGUCCAUUGUGGCAGUGUGGGGCCAAAUGGAACCAGGGAGUGCAAGUGACACUCUGGGUCCUCAUGGAACCAAGGGGCCACUGUGAAAGUGCAGCACCAAGGAGUGCAUUGUGACACUGUGAAGCCCCAUGGAACCAAGGAGUGCAUUGUUACUCUGCAUGGUCUCAUGGAACCGUGGAGAACAGUGUGACAGUGCAGGGCCUCGUGUAAACAAUAGGCCAUUGUGACACUGAGGGCCCUAUGGAACCAAGGACAUCUUUGCAGAUGACACCAAGCUGGGUGUGAGUGUCAAACUGCUGGAGGGCAGGAGGGCUCUGCACAGGGCCCUGAACAGGGUGGAUCCAAGGGCUAAAUCCAACAGUGUGAGGUUGAAUAAGUCGAAGUGCUGGGUCCUGCAUUUUGGCCACAAUGACCCCUGCAGCUCUACAGGCUGGGGACAGAGUGGCUGGACAGCGGCCAGGCAGAAAGGGACCUGCAGGGAGUGAUGGACAGCAGGCUGGACAUGAGCCAGCAGCGUGCCCAGGUGGCCAAGAAGGCCAAUGGCUCCUGGCCUGGAUCAGGAAUGGUAAGGCCAUAUGAACCAGAGCCGCUGUGCCAUCAUUCAUCUGCCCCCAGCUCUGCACACAGACAUUGCUGCUGCAGCUCCAGAGAAAAGAACAAAAGGGGGAGCUCUGAUGAAAACUUUGCUGGUAGAUCCUUUGUGGCAGUGUGUUAAUUUAAUCCUUUGUAUUCCUUAUGUUCUCUGUACUAGUUCAGUUUUGUGUACCCUACCCUCCUAAUUAAUAUUCCUUUGUCUCCCUCAGGAGAUGUAAUUUAUGCAUGUACCUGUUCCGUUAUGUAAUUUUCAGUUAACUGUCAAUUAUCCUUCCCGCCUUUGUAAACCCCCUCCUAUUCCUCCUUGAUUGGUCCAUGUUAUAACUCCCCACCCUGAGACUCCUUGGAUACUGGCCCUGGUUGGCUAUGGAUGGCUGACCACUCCUCUUACUCCUCCCCUCAGGUCCUGAACAAAACCCAGUGUCACCAGUUGAUCCUCGGCCAGUUGUGGGCUGAGGUGGUUUGCUCA